UCAGAUCGGUACUCCACUCCAUCAACAUCAGUUAAACUGCCAGAGCUCGUUCCCGGAGGAAGGCUUACCCUGACUCUGGUAAUGCUAUGUUCAGGAGGAGUCAUUGUUACUGAAAUACUCGAGAGCUUAGGCCACCCAUGAUUAUCCUAAAGUAAAUGUAGUAUCAUAUAUUUGAGGAGCAUUUCCAAAAGAGUUGCACCAAUUCAAACUUUGACUUUGCUGAUAUACAAACAAUGGCAUAUAUCCAUGGGAAGAUGAGCAAAGACAUGUAUAUUCCGAGUUCUAUAUAUCUACCUUGGCCAUCUGAAAUUAAUCAGUAACCUUUGCAGUAAGAUGAAUGAGAGGUUGCACGAGGCAAGCCACAAAUCAGUCCAAAAGUAAAUCAGUUCACCAUUGCUCCGCCCACUCUCCAUUGGUUUGCAGCCAUCAAUAUCUACUUCAAC
rnacentral:lncRNA from 1 species